rnacentral:rRNA from 1 species
UACGAAGGGGGCUAGCGUUUGUUCGGAAUUACUGGGCGUAAAGCGCGUGUAGGCGGGUCUUUUAAGUCAGGGGUGAAAUGCCAAGGCUCAACCUUGGAACUGCCUUUGAUACUGGAGACCUUGAGUCCGGGAGAGGUGAGUGGAAUUGCGAGUGUAGAGGUGAAAUUCGUAGAUAUUUCGCAAGAACACCAGUGGCGAAGGCGGCUCACUGGCCCGGAACUGACGCUGAGACGCGAAAGCGUGGGGAGCAAACAGG